GGGGAUUUAGCUUAGUGGUAGAGCGCUUGCCUAGCAAGCACAAGGCCCUGGGUUCGGUCCUCAGCUCCA
rnacentral:tRNA from 1 species